GAGCGAGCCGAGGAUGAUGGCGGCGAUCUGCACCUUCUCGAUCACAGUCAGAGAGAUGGCCUGCCACUGAAACGCAAAAGCCGCACGACACUGCUUCAUCCCGCUGAAUACACCUGAACAUCAUGAAAUCCAUUAUGGACGGAGUGAAUCAUAGAUCGCGUGCUGCUGUCUUGAAAUCGAAGGAUGUUUCAAAGAAGAUAAAGUAACGGAAUAUUUAUGGAUUAUGCCAAGUGGAAGCAAGGGGGAAGAGGCCCUUUUUUGUUUGUGUAUUUGGGCUGUACUAGCUCUUACCUGUAAGGGAUUUUUGGUGCUGAUGGCCAACACUUGGUAUUUGAAGUAGCAGAGCUCGCAGCUCCAGGAGCCUCUCUCGCUGAUCCAGCGGAUAAGACACGGCUGAUGGGUGCAGCGCACUGAGCCGUCACACCGGCACGGACUCAACAGCUCUCCCUGAUGGGCACACGGUCACAAAAACACACUGGGUUAGGUCAUGCAGUUAUAAUAAAUCAAAGUGUCAAUACUGAUCUCAGGUCAGCAGAAUCAGUCGCAAAUAUUACGACAGUAUUAUACAGUUGAACUCUGACUGUUUUCCUGCAGGAGCACAUCUGCUUCAUUCAAACAGCAGCAGGUAUGUGAGCUUCACCCGGUGGUUUCGCACCCAGCUGUGAGCCACUGUUGUGGCAUCUCUUACCCGAUAUUAAGCCAAUCCCACACGGUUCCCAUAGUCCCUAUAUAAGAGCAUCAUUUCAGGUAGGAAACGAUUUCUACACCCCAUGGAGUGCACUAUAAACCCAAAAGAGAGCCACUGGGUAUGGAGCAAAUAACCGAGUUGAUGAAGGCAUGUUGCAUCACUGUACAUUAUUGACCUAAUGCAGUAUUGACCCACACUGAGGUUUUCAUUGUAGCUGCAAAGGUAAUAUCAAGAUGUUCUACUAAAUCAUAAAGAAAAAGCUUUGGCUGCA